AGGAGGCAGGAUUAGAUUGCAGCUCUGACUCAGAGCAGCGUGCGGAGGCUCGCAUUGUGAAUUUUAGCUCCAGAUAAACUUCAAGAACAAACCAGCAAUCCUGAGAGGACCCACAGACCCUCUGAAAAAAGCGGACUGUUCCUGCAACACCCAGGAGACACCCCAAAUACUGUGAGUGACCCAACUGCGGAAGCGGGAAAGGGAGAUCCUCCUCUCCUGAACACACACCCCCACUGGAGAAACUGAAGGUCUGUUUGUGGGAGAGGUUUCUGACCUUACCUGGAGCUGAGUCAAUUUAGAGGGCCAAGCAAAAUACAGGGAGGAAGCAGCAGGUGGGAUCUCGCUGGGUUCCCAAGCAAGUCAUUCCUGCCUGGCACCACAGGGAUCCUCUGGGAGGCAGCCAGAGGAGUAGGGGGAAAUCACCACAGGGAAGAAGGUCUCCAGCUGAACUUUGUAACAAUUUGAACUGGGCAAGAAGCUGAAUCCGGUGUGCAACCUCCACAGAUGAAGAAUCUGAGGCACAAAGAGGUCAACUGGCUUGCCCAAGGGUACUUGGCAGAAGGUGAGCUCUGAUAUAGUGCUUUAGUGCACGGACUCAGAAAGUGGAUGAGCUAAGACAUUCAUGAAGCUGUGUAAGAGAGAAAGGCUCAUCACCUUUGCAGAUGACACAAGCCUUUUAUGCGGGAAUCAAAGAAGAACAUGAGAGGCCAGAACACCGGAUUGAAACCAGCAAUUUGACCUUUAAAAGGUAUAAAGUACUGCUUUUAGGUUUAAAUAGUUAACUGCACAAGCCAGAGACACACAGCUUGGUAGCACACUUCUAGCAAAAAAUCCUUUGCUUUUAAUUGACUGCAAGAUCAAUUUAUCUCCGAGUAGCCCAUGAGAGCUAAUACAUGAAACCCAAACUUAGCUUUACUAAUUGGUACAUAGUAGGGGUGCUACUCUUUUCUGCUGGUGUGAAAUCAUAACUGAAAUUUUGGACUCAGUUUCUAAUAAAAAUUUAGGAAGAACCUUAAUCAAUUGUAACUGCAGAAAAAAAAUCACAUGAUUUUGAGUGAAUUAAAUAUCAUGUUUUCUCAUUUUAUAAGCUAUGGUUAAAAAACUGGAUAUAUCCCAGAAAAAUGAAUUUUUAGAAAUUCGGUGGAACUGUGAUCUGAGAAAAUGGUUGUGAAAAUGGGA
rnacentral:lncRNA from 1 species